CUUUGUUAAAGGCGUAGGUGGAGGAGACAGUGGCUGCAGGGCUGUUUGCUCUCGCAGUGACAAUUAGGGCUCAUCCUUGGUGGUGGUAACUGCUCGGCUCUUGCAUCCUUUCUGCAUUAGGUGGACUUCACCCACACCAAGCAGUUCAUCUUCUGCACUCAGCGGGGAGGAGGGGAGGUGCUGGGGGAGGUGUUGGAGGGUCUGCUCCUGAGCCUGGAGCUUCCUGAAGUGUUGUACCUAAGUGGAGCUUACCUGGAGACUGAAACAGAGCUGCUGCUGGGGCAAAGACUUGGGAAUGCAUAUGUCCCUGAUGUGAAAAGGGGAUAGUUGAUCGCCCAGAAGGGUGCGUGUCUGCUGGCUUCACCUGCUUCAAGAGCAGUCUCAGCUCUGUCUCAGUUUAUACUUCAGGCAACGUUAAAAAAAAAAAGGUAAGAAAGGUGGUCUGAACCACACCAAGAGUUUAAUCUCUGAGAUAAAAUCAGGGCUGUUGAGGAUUGCUCCUUUAGUCCUUUAGCAAGUCAGGGGAAGGGUGGUGAAAGACAAAGAGGUCCAGACAGAAAACAGUGAGUAACUUUCAGUGCUAAUAACUGAACAUGUAGCUUCUGCAGACACAGCUGUUUGCUUAAAGUGCCCUACAGCACGGUGAGAUGGUCCAACCCCUUGUGUUAAUGCACAGAAGGCAAACCUGACAGAUUAUCCACUUUGGAAAACUAAUCCCAUUAAGGACACCCCCAAGGUGUAUCUCCCAGCCAGCGCCCAUCCUCUCAAGGGCUCAAGCUCCCCUGCACUGGCCUCUGCACCCUGGUCCUAUUCACAGCUUCUGCAGAUGUAUCAUGGGGCCGACACUCCUGGACACAACUGCCCUCCACCUGCAGCCAGGGAAACAGAGAGCAAAGCCCCCCAAAAGUCAUGAGAGUGAUGUGAGUUGGGGUGCAGCUCAGGGUGGGGGAUGCUGUCAGGAAGGAGGCCAGGUCUUGGUGCUGGCUUGAUGCUGUCCUUAGGCUCCCUCUAGAGUUUACAUCGAAUGAGCAAAAGGUCUCAAACUCGGCUUGUGCUGCACCCUGCCCCUACAGGGAGGCAUGCAGAGGAGGGCUGGCACCUCCUAGCCCCCCUACACUUUGGCACUGCUCCGGUCUUGGGCGCUACUGGAUGAUACCCCAAGUCCUUCAUACACCAAAAUGGCUUUUUCCUCCCUAGCAGUCUCUGCUGCUGAACCUCAAUGGGCCCUAAGCUCACCCAGAAAGGAAAAGCUCCAGUGAAGGAUGUUAGGAACAUCCUGAUUCGAGGCCUGUACCUCGAAUCUCAUGGCAAUCUCACCCCACACCUCUGGAGGAAAUGAGCAUUUUGCCUGCAAAUCGGAUAUGUGGAGAAGCGGCAGCAGCAGCAGCAGCAGCUCAGUGAUAGCUGUGUGAGAAUCAAACUUACUCAAGCUUCCAGCCUUCAGAUGAGUCACAUCGUGUCUUGCCUCCUUCAUCCUAAACAGAAAGAUGCGUCCUGUAGAGGAGCUCAGCUUCAACGGCGACAGAGGGAAGGCGAACCUGGCGAUUGGAAGCAGGAGUUUAGGGGGUCGGUCCCAGAGCUCGCCGUACCCACCCCGCUGCGCGGCCGCGCACACCCCAGCGCAGCGGCUCCUCUGCUGUGCCGCUCUUUUGCAA